AUAGGGACCGUGCGCGUUGGAGGGUCUGCCAUCUUGUGGCCUGAAUCGGAACCAUAAACAUGCACAUUUACACGUCACGUGUUUUCUUUUGCAUAGUAGGUUCUGCCAUCUUGUGGGCUACAUCGGAACAAUAAACAUCACAUUUACGCCUCGCGCCAAAAAUCUGACGGCUCCUGUGCUGCCUCCUACAGUUCAUGCACGCUCCCUAUAACCACAAAUACUAAAACGUAUGUAAGGGCAUUUGUGGGUUAAAUUUUUUCAGUACUUGUUUCCUAUAAUAUAAUGUUCUAUUUUCUGUAUCCCUCGAUUUUUGUCGAGAGAGUAUUCUCUCCGUGGGUCUUAUGCCUGGGGACAGAAGUCCACUAAUAAUAACUGUACCUCUAGUGUAAAUUUAAUCGACAUCAUAACGUGACGAACGCGUUUGCGUUAAGUCUCAUUUUGUAUAGGAUUUUGAGUUUCCAAAACGUCCCGCUUGGCGCGCUCUUUCUAAAUCACAUACAAAAUGAGACUAAACGCAAACGCGUACGUCACGUUUCGAAAUCGAAUUUAUUUACACUAGGGGUACUGGUCAGAAGUAGUAGGCACUUAUAGUAACUGAUAUUUGAAACUCCGUAAGCGUGAUGUAGGUUUCUAAAUCCUGACCAGUAAUAUGUAUACGCGCCAUACUCGUAUUGCGGAAAUUAAUUGGAACUAAUUUUUUCAUACUAAAUUGAACUGUCACUCUAUACAUACAAUUGGUUGACUGGUAGAGAAUGCCUUAAGGCAUUAAGUCCGCCAUUUGUACCUUCAUGUAUUGUGCAAUAAAGAUUAAAUAAAUAUAUGAAAAUAACAGCGCCCUCUUGACAAUGAUCAUAUAUUUCUCACCUCAAUGCAAGAAUACAAUGUACAGUCAGCAUCAAAAGUUGCGGAUCAAACAAGGUUUCAAAAGUAUCUACCAUUCUGUAACAGCUUAACAAAAUGUGGUGGUUCUAUGUGUAGAACAAUUAAGACGGUAAAAGAUUUACUGUUGAAUGUAAAUUUUAGAGAUUUAUCUAUAUUUUGAAAAGUUAUCCAGAAUAUCAGAUACUUUUGGCGAGUUGUUUCAUCCGCUACUAUUGAUGCUGACUGUACAACUACAAAAUCCACACAAUUAUUACAUAAUCGAUUAAAUCAGUUCAGCAUUUCGAAAAAGCAAAUACAUUUUAUUAUUAACUCGUUGAAGUCUAAAUUCGUCAAUUCUUUGGCUAUUAUUAAAUGAAACUAUAAUGGGCUAUUAAAUGCUUUUUAAUUACUUAAAAAAAAUUCAGACACGUGUUUAACAAUUAAAAAACUAUAAAACUACCGAUUAUUGCUUUAUAAUGACAUUGUAGUUUUUAUUAUUGGUAUAAAUACAAAGACAUUUUGUGGUCAUCCUCAUUCCAGCAAUUGAGGUCACGGAAGAACUAACUACAAUAUUUUAAAGAUGAAACUCCUAGCCAUCUUCCUCUGCAUCGCGAUCGUCGUGGCAAUGGCGUCCGCAGCCGUUCACUGGGACCCAUCCGGCCAGUACCGUCUAAUCGAGUCCCCCGAGUAUGCCUACGAGUACGCGCCAGGCAUACCUUAUGCUGGAUACAGAUACGCGCCGUACCGCGCGUACAAUCCUUACGCGUACAAAUACGUUGCUCCUGCUGUUUAAAUUCUGACUCCUGGCGAUUGGAUAUGACGACACAAUAAAUUUUCAGGCAUUUUA